AUUGCAGCCCAGCUAUGUGAAGGCUAUUUAUCGCCUUUACAUCGUUUUUAGCUGCAUACAUCAAUGACUCUGCUUGGUGAAUGUCACAUUGUCCGUACAUGUGGCAUUUUCUGUGGAGACAACAGUUUUUU
rnacentral:snoRNA from 1 species